rnacentral:rRNA from 1 species
GGGACACGUGGUAUCCUGUCUGAAUAUGGGGGGACCAUCCUCCAAGGCUAAAUACUCCUGACUGACCGAUAGUGAACCAGUACCGUGAGGGAAAGGCGAAAAGAACCCCGGCGAGGGGAGUGAAAAAGAACCUGAAACCGUGUACGUACAAGCAGUGGGAGCACGCUUAGGCGUGUGACUGCGUACCUUUUGUAUAAUGGGUCAGCGACUUAUAUUCUGUAGCAAGGUUAACCGAAUAGGGGAGCCGAAGGGAAACCGAGUCUUAACUGGGCGUUAAGUUGCAGGGUAUAGACCCGAAACCCGGUGAUCUAGCCAUGGGCAGGUUGAAGGUUGGGUAACACUAACUGGAGGACCGAACCGACUAAUGUUGAAAAAUUAGCGGAUGACUUGUGGCUGGGGGUGAAAGGCCAAUCAAACCGGGAGAUAGCUGGUUCUCCCCGAAAGCUAUUUAGGUAGCGCCUCGUGAAUUCAUCUCCGGGGGUAGAGCACUGUUUCGGCAAGGGGGUCAUCCCGACUUACCAACCCGAUGCAAACUGCGAAUACCGGAGAAUGUUAUCACGGGAGACACACGGCGGGUGCUAACGUCCGUCGUGAAGAGGGAAACAACCCAGACCGCCAGCUAAGGUCCCAAAGUCAUGGUUAAGUGGGAAACGAUGUGGGAAGGCCCAGACAGCCAGGAUGUUGGCUUAGAAGCAGCCAUCAUUUAAAGAAAGCGUAAUAGCUCACUGGUCGAGUCGGCCUGCGCGGAAGAUGUAACGGGGCUAAACCAUGCACCGAAGCUGCGGCAGCGACGCUUAUGCGUUGUUGGGUAGGGGAGCGUUCUGUAAGCCUGCGAAGGUGUGCUGUGAGG